AGCAGUGUGGCUUACUGGAAAGAACAUGGACUUGGGAGUCAGAGGUCAUGGGUUCUAAUCCCAACUCUGCCA
rnacentral:tRNA from 1 species